CCUACGGGAGGCUGCAGUGAGGAAUAUUGGUCAAUGGACGAGAGUCUGAACCAGCCAAGUAGCGUGAAGGAUGACUGCCCUAUGGGUUGUAAACUUCUUUUAUAAAGGAAUAAAACGAGGCACGUGUGCCUUUUUGCAUGUACUUUAUGAAUAAGGAUCGGCUAACUCCGUGCCAGCAGCCGCGGUAAUACGGAGGAUCCGAGCGUUAUCCGGAUUUGUUGGGUUUAAAGGGAGCGUAGAUGGGUUGUUAAGUCAGUUGUGAAAGUUUGCGGCUCAACCGUAAAAUUGCAAUUGAUACUGGCAGUCUUGAGUACAGUUGAGGUAGGCGGAAUUCGUGGUGUAGCGGUGAAAUGCUUAGAUAUCACGAAGAACCCCGAUUGCGAAGGCAGCUUACUAAACUGUGACUGACAUUGAUGCUCGAAAGUGUGGGUAUCAAACAGGAUUAGAUACCCUAGUAGUC
rnacentral:rRNA from 1 species